ACCACCCAGAAGAACCAGGGUGCCCAGUGAGCUGGUAACUAAGGAACAGCUCACUGGUGUGUGUGUGUGUGUAGGAAGGAUUUUGAUCACCUGACAAAGCUAAUGAGGGGGUCACCUGACAAAGGAUCCUGGAGGUUAUAAAAGGGAGGUUAUUUCCCUGGCUAUUUUGGAGAGAGGGAGGAGAGAUCAGAAGCAGAAAGCUGACUUCUGAAGUCAGCUGAGACUCCAUGUUCCAGAGGAGAAGAAGAAGCCAUGUGCAAGAGGGCAGGAGGAGAGGAAGGAUUCUUGACUCUCUGAAAUACUGACCUGAGCCCAAAGAGCACUUGAGUGGUGAGGAAACUGAGGUAGUGAAAUGCAUGAGUUCAUGGAGGAUUGUAACCUCUACAGCCACCCUUAAUGUCCUGUAUUGCAGUCAGAAAGCUCCUGGCAAAGGUUGAGCAGAGAUGAGUCAUUUUUGGAGUACAACAAUACAGACAAAGCUUUCAGGGGCCAAGGGAUGAACAGAGACUAUGCCAUUCCCAGCAAAGUUAUCACCAGCCCUGAGGGUCAACCCUACUGGAGAAACAGAAGAUGUCUAAACAAAACCAAGGACAUUGGCCGUCUGUUUCUUGAGGUUAUUCAGAAUGUUACUACUGGUGCACAUGUGCUGACACAGACCACUGAUGAUGAACUAUACCAAGAGCAGAAAAUACAGACUUCAGGUGGCAGAUCCUCCUCAGCACCGGAAUGUGCAACUGCAGAAGGAACAAUUUUGAUAACAAGAAAUGGUCAUAGGCUCAGGAAGCCACUGAUGAUGUUCAGAGAUAGUAGUUACUGACAGAUGUGUAAUACAAAGCAAAACAAUCCACUCAUCUGUUAAGGGAAUACAAGUCACCUAACCAGAUAAUUACCUGAGAUGUUUUGGAGUGCUGUAUAAAUUUGCUAUAUUAGUUACAUUUUAUUUCAAGAGAUUGUUAGAAAAUAAUGGGAGGGUGGGAGAAGUGGGGAUAGAAGUGAGAGAAAUGCCAAAUAUGUUUGUUUCAUAUUCUUGUUGAUGCUUCAUUUUCCCCCAGGUUCUCUAACCAACUCUAGUUAUUUAUUUGAUUAAAAAGAAACAAAGGGAACAUGUAACAGAGGCCACUGGGUAGUGGUGCAAAUAUGGGAUGGGAUUUAACCGGGGCUACAGAAGGGAAGUACAGCUUCCCAUCCUGUGCUCAAAGGAGAGGGGAGCAACAUGUCCUGUCCCUGAGCUGGGAGAGCAAUGCUCCUCCCCAGCUCCCUCCUCCCUGGCUGGUAUAGUGUGAGCUCCCCCUUCUGUUUCAAUUUAUUUUAACUGCUGGGUAUAACCUUUUGAAACGCUGACCCAUGUCAUGUGAUUGAGACACAGUCUCUUCCCAGCACUCCUCUGUGUCAUUCCUUCAUCACAGUCAUGUAAGCAUCUACAGCCUGCUAGGUUCUUCACGGACAGGUAUAAAGACAAGAGGCCUGAUCCUCCUCUAAAUUGGGGUAGCUCCAUUGUCUUCUGUCACAACCCUGGGUUUCCUAUGACUAGGUAUCUGUUGCCUGCUGCCACUACCAAGCUUCUCACUUGAAAAUUUUACCUCAGGACACUUCUCCCUUUGUUCCCUUGUUACAAAGACUCUGUCCCCAUGCGCAGGGGUCCCCUGAUAGUGAUGUCUGUCAGUGUUGCAGAAAAUGGCAGCAAAGAGGCAUUCUCUUCCCACCCUAGGUUCUUAUUUCUGCUGCAGCACUUCUACUUUGUGCCAACCCAGAGAGCUAGGAACUGAACCCAACUCAGAUCCUUUGCAUGGCAACUCACCGUACUGGACCAAACCACUGGGGCAGCCCAGCUUAUGGUACCGUAGUUGUUGCCUCCAAGUACCAAGGACCAUUUGAGCAGCAAUAGUCAGAAACCUAAAAUAUGGCAAAAAUAAAAUCUUCUCUGGUUUGUGUGGUGCUUGGGAAGCAGCAUCUAGAGAGCUGCUUGGGGUGAAAUGGAGAUUCUGUUUGUACCACUUCUGAAUUGUAGAGGAUUUUAUUAAAUUGUAUCAUGAAAUGACCAU